CGGUGAUCUACAGUCCGAUCUGCACAUGUGCACAAAUGAGCCCACUUUUUAUGAUACAAACAGUUUAACUAUGUUUCUAGUUCUUGAAAAGCCUAAUUGUUGUUUCUUGAUCAUUUAUUAUACUCUAGAAGCUUGAAAAUAUAAAUAGUUGUCGAAUAAAGCUCAAUACUGUUUUGGACACAAAAAUGUAAACAAAGGCUUUGUUUACAUACGGACUGUAGAUCACCAAUGUCUUAAUUUGAACGCUUUUUACAAGAUCAAGCUAACUUGGGAUAUUAAUCAUAUUAUUGAUCAGUCUCGUACCCAGAGCAAUGCCUGUGCGCCGGUGAGAAAGGCAUUGGCUCGCUGAUAUAUUCCAGAUAAUGAUAUUGAAAUUUCCAUUGGAUUUCCAUCAUUUUUCAGUUACACGAAAAUUUCCAUUUUCCAAAAUUUGAUUCCUCUGAGUUGAUUGAAUCAAGCCACAAAUUAAGUAUAUACCAGAUGCACUCUCCUCCGCAGAGGCUUUGUAGUUUGUUUUCUUACUUUCUAUAAGUUUGACUUGCGGGCAGUAGCG
rnacentral:lncRNA from 1 species